UGGGUCGCGCAGUACCCCUACACUCCACCACAGUACCCCUACACUCCACCGCAGUACUUCGUCCGCAGCGCCGAGGAGGACCCCAACUCCUGCGUCAUCUGCUGAUGGCGACGCCGAUCGGGAGGUCCCGGUUUUUUCGUAGCUGGCCUGCCUGCCUACCUCGAGCUCCAGCGUCAGUGAUGGCCGAUCGGGCCCCCGGGGGUGUUGGUGGUUGGCUGCUGUGCUCAUCUCUAUCCUUGGGUUGGUUGGCCCGUCCGCAGGUCGUUGUAUGAUGAUGAUGGCCGGAGCAAUUACUUACUAUACAC
rnacentral:lncRNA from 1 species